rnacentral:rRNA from 1 species
UACGUAGGGGGCAAGCGUUGUCCGGAAUUAUUGGGCGUAAAGAGCGUGUAGGCGGUUUGGUAGGUCCGCUGUGAAAACUCGAGGCUCAACCUCGAGACGCCGGUGGAAACCAUCAGGCUAGAGUCCGGAAGAGGAGAGUGGAAUUCCUGGUGUAGCGGUGAAAUGCGCAGAUAUCAGGAAGAACACCCGUGGCUAAGGCGGCUCUCUAGUACGGUACUGACGCUGAGACGCGAAAGCGUGGGGAGCGAACAGG